AUGGUAUUUAGAGAUAUUCAUUGCUUGAACCUCAUGUUACUAGCUAAACAAGCUUGGAGGCUCAUUGAGAAUCGAGAUUCCUUAUGUGAAUGCAUUAUAAGAGCAAAGUAUUUCCCUGAUAGGGAUUUAUUAAAUUGUAGUCUAAAGAAGAAUUCUUCCUAUAGGUGUUAA
rnacentral:rRNA from 1 species